rnacentral:rRNA from 1 species
GAUGAACGCUGGCGGCGUGCCUAAUACAUGCAAGUCGAGCGAACAGAUGAUGAGCUUGCUCCUCUGACGUUAGCGGCUGACGGGUGAGUAACACGUGGAUAACCUACCUAUUAUACUUGGAUAACUUCGUGAAACCGUUUCUAAUACCGGAUCAUAUAUUGAACCGCUUGGUUCAAUAGUUAAUUACGUUUUUUCUGUCACUUUUAGAUGUAUUCGCGCUGCAUUAUCUAGUUGGUAAGGUAACGGCUUACCAAGGCAACGAUGCGUAGCCGACCUGAGAGGGUGAGCAGCCACACUGGAACUGAGACACGGUCCAGACUCCUACGGGAGGCAGCAGUAGGGAAUCUUCCGCAAUGGGCGAAAGCCUGACGGAGCAACGCCGCGUGAGUGAUGAAGGUCUUCGGAUCGUAAAACUCUGUUAUUAGGGAAGAAAAAAAGUGUAAGUAACUAUGCACGUAUUGACGGUACCUAAACAGAAAGCAACGGCUAACUACGUG